UACGUAGGGUGCAAGCGUUGGCCGGAAUUAUUGGGCGUAAAGAGCUCGUAGGCGGUCUGUCGCGUCUGCUGUGAAAUCUCAGGGCUUAACCCUGAGCUUGCAGUGGGUACGGGCAGACUAGAGUGCGGUAGGGGAGACUGGAAUUCCUGGUGUAGCGGUGAAAUGCGCAGAUAUCAGGAGGAACACCGGUGGCGAAGGCGGGUCUCUGGGCCGUAACUGACGCUGAGGAGCGAAAGCAUGGGGAGCGAACAGG
rnacentral:rRNA from 1 species